UACGAAGGGGGCUAGCGUUGCUCGGAAUCACUGGGCGUAAAGCGCACGUAGGCGGAUUCCUAAGUCGGUGGUGAAAUCCUGGAGCUCAACUCCAGAACUGCCUUUGAUACUGAGGAUCUUGAGUACGGGAGAGGUGAGUGGAACUGCGAGUGUAGAGGUGAAAUUCGUAGAUAUUCGCAAGAACACCAGUGGCGAAGGCGGCUCACUGGCCCGUAACUGACGCUGAGGCACGAAAGCGUGGGGAGCAAACAGG
rnacentral:rRNA from 1 species